rnacentral:rRNA from 1 species
AUUGAACGCUGGCGGCAGGCCUAACACAUGCAAGUCGAACGGUAACAGGAAACAGCUUGCUGUUUCGCUGACGAGUGGCGGACGGGUGAGCAAUGUCUGGGAAACUGCCUGAUGGAGGGGGAUAACUACUGGAAACGGUAGCUAAUACCGCAUAACGUCGCAAGACCAAAGAGGGGGACCUUCGGGCCUCUUGCCAUCGGAUGUGCCCAGAUGGGAUUAGCUAGUAGGUGAGGUAACGGCUCACCUAGGCGACAAUCCCUAGCUGGUCUGAGAGGAUGACCAGCCACACUGGAACUGAGACACGGUCCAGACUCCUACGGGAGGCAGCAGUGGGGAAUAUUGCACAAUGGGCGCAAGCCUGAUGCAGCCAUGCCGCGUGUAUGAAGAAGGCCUUCGGGUUGUAAAGUACUUUCAGCGGGGAGGAAGGGAGUAAAGUUAAUACCUUUGCUCAUUGACGUUACCCGCAGAAGAAGCACCGGCUAACUCCGUGCCAGCCGCCGCCGUAA